rnacentral:rRNA from 1 species
AAAGAUUAAGCCAUGCAUGUCUAUGCACACGCCCUUGAAUGGUGAAGCCGCGAAAAGCUCACUACAACAGCCAUAGUUUAUUGGAUGUUUACGUUCCUACAAGGACACCUGCGGUAAUUCUGGAGCUAAUACUUGCGAAAUGCGACAACCUCACGGGAGUCGUGCAUUUAUUAGAUUAAACCAAUCGGUCCUUCGGGACCGCCAUUUGGUGAACUCUGAAUAACUUAGCUGAUCGCACAGUCUCGUACUGGCGACAAAUCUUUCAAGUGUCUGCCUUAUCAACUUUCGAUGGUAGUUUAUACGACUACCAUGGUUGUAACGGGUAACGGAGAAUAAGGGUUCGACUCCGGAGAGGGAGCCUGAGAAACGGCUACCACAUCCAAGGAAGGCAGCAGGCGCGCAAAUUACCCACUCGCAGAACGCGGAGGUAGUGACGAAAAAUAACGAGGUGGCUCUCUAUGAGGUCCAUCAUCGGAAUGGGUACAAUUUAAAUCCUUUAACGAGGAUCUAUUGGAGGGCAAGUCUGGUGCCAGCAGCCGCGGUAAUUCCAGCUCCAAUAGCGUAUACUAAAGUUGUUGCGGUUAAAAAGCUCGUAGUUGGAUCUGCGCUCGGUGAAAGCGGUCGCCCGAUGGGUUGUUACUGCUUCUCCCGGGCUAACCAUUCGGUUUUCCCUUGAUGCUCUUAACUGAGUGUCCUGGGUGACCGGAACGUUUACUUUGAAAAAAUUAGAGUGCUCAAAGCAGGCGAUUUGCCAGAAUAUUCGUGCAUGGAAUAAUAAAAGAGGUCCUUGUAGCCUUUUAUUGGUUAUCGCUACGAGGAAAUGAUCGAAGGGGACAGACGGGGGCAUUUGUAUUGCGACGUUAGAGGUGAAAUUCUUGGAUCGUCGCAAGACAAACUACUGCGAAAGCAUUUGCCAAGAAUG